GAUCCUGGCUCAGAUUGAACGCUGGCGGCAGGCCUAACACAUGCAAGUCGAACGGUAACAGGAAGAAGCUUGCUUCUUUGCUGACGAGUGGCGGACGGGUGAGUAAUGUCUGGGAAACUGCCUGAUGGAGGGGGAUAACUACUGGAAACGGUAGCUAAUACCGCAUAACGUCGCAAGACCAAAGAGGGGGACCUUCGGGCCUCUUGCCAUCGGAUGUGCCCAGAUGGGACUAGCUAGUAGGUGGGGG
rnacentral:rRNA from 1 species